GAGCAAGGGCGUCAAAAUCUAUCGAGUGAAGUGACUUGCAUUGAAGGUUGGCGAAAUAAAUUGCGGUUCUCCGUGCCUAUCAAACCUUUCUCAUUUUGAUUGUGGCCUCGAACAAGCCGCUACAUC